rnacentral:lncRNA from 12 species
CUGCACACUUCACCACCACUCUAUAUGGUAGCCUGGCUGCACCUAAGUUAUCACGUGUCCAAAUUAGUGAAGUCCUAAAUCUGGUUGAGCUUGUGGAAACUCGAAAACACUUUAUAAUGGGCCCCACUGAUGUGUUAGAUUCCCGUUGUUUAGAAAAAGAGGUUGCCUCGCUACUACAGUUAUUCCUGUUUCUGAGAAGAGGAACACUCCACAGAUGUGUGAGGCAGCCAGGAUUCCCACUCAGCAUGACACAGCCCGCCCAGCUUCAAGAAGCCAGACUGAGAACUCUCCGUGGAAAGGCGGAGGGUCCUGCGAGAAUGUCUCCUCCGUGACAGUUCUGGGCCCGCCAGCUCAGGGAACGGAGCCAGGAGCCGUGCAAGAAGAAGAAGUCUGAAGGGAGCUGAAAUCAGUCCCCCGAAACAAGGACGCCGCGGCGGCGACCAGCCCCUGCCUGCAACAGAUGCUGCGCCCUGCACGUGAGCCAUCGCGCCCCUUGCUUUCAUCUGCACGUGGGGACGCAGGAGCUCUACAGGGCCAGGUGGUAAAGGGAACGAGCUAAGGGUUGACAAAGAGCUCUGACAUGUAUGAAUUAUCGUCCUGGACGAUGAAUGAUUCACAGGCGUGAGUAAAGCUAAUCCAUCUUUGUUACCCCAGCUCCUGGGGUGGGCCUAACAAGUUGCUCAGCGAAAGUGUGUUGACUCAAGAACCAGUGGUCUCAUUGAUCCACCCAUCUGUGAUGAUUCUUUUUUUUUUUAUUAUUAAGAUUUUAUUUAUUUAUUCAUGAGAAAUAGAGAGAGAGAGAGAGAGAGAGAGAGAGAGAGAGAGAGGCAGAGACCCAGGCAGAGGGAGAAGCAGGCUCCAUGCAGGGAGCCCGACGUGGGCCUCGAUCCUGGGACCCCAGGAUCAUGCCCUGGGCCAAAGGCAGGCGCUCAGCCGCGGAGCCCCCCAGGGGUCCCCCAGGAUUCACUAGUCUGACUCGAUGGGUCUAAGGACGUUGGGAUUCCACGUCUCGCGUCGGGUGCUUGGCAGGUAGUGAGCGCAGGUGUGCACGCGACACCGCGGCCAGCCUGGGGCACAUCUGCGCUGACGUUGCCGGAGCGGACACGCCCGCCCGCGCAGGGAGGAAGCUCCCGGAGGAAGAGCGUCCGUGCCCCGAACCGCGAGGAACGCGCAGGCUCCCGCGCCCUCCGCGCUCGGAGGAAUGGAAGCAAAGACAGGCUUUCCUCCUCCCCUUGCACUUCUGCGGGCAGCUCACGUGGCGGCCCGCGGCCUUCUGAGUGCCACGCGCAGAUGGAAGUCUGCACCGCGUAAAAAAAAAAAAAAAAAAAAAAA